rnacentral:rRNA from 1 species
AGUGAACGCUGGCGGUAGGCCUAACACAUGCAAGUCGAACGGCAGCACAGUAAGAGCUUGCUCUUACGGGUGGCGAGUGGCGGACGGGUGAGGAAUACAUCGGAAUCUACUUUUUCGUGGGGGAUGACGUAGGGAAACUUACGCUAAUACCGCAUACGACCUACGGGUGAAAGCAGGGGAUCUUCGGACCUUGCGCGAUUGAAUGAGCCGAUGUCGGAUUAGCUAGUUAGCGGGGUAAAGGCCCACCAAGGCGACGAUCCGUAGCUGGUCUGAGAGGAUGAUCAGCCACACUGGAACUGAGACACGGUCCAGACUCCUACGGGAGGCAGCAGUGGGGAAUAUUGGACAAUGGGCGCAAGCCUGAUCCAGCCAUACCGCGUGGGUGAAGAAGGCCUUCGGGUUGUAAAGCCCUUUUGUUGGGAAAGAAAAGCAGCAGGUUAAUACCCCGCUGUUCUGACGGUACCCAAAGAAUAAGCACCGGCUAACUUCGUG